GCCUCUAGCCUAGUGGUUAAAGGCUUCCGAUUAGCACCUCCAAGACCCGGGUUCGAUUCCCCUCGGGGGCG
rnacentral:tRNA from 7 species